rnacentral:lncRNA from 1 species
UGAGAAUUCUUGGUUUCGAUCCAUGGUGUCCAUAAGAGCCAGAAAUAUUUCUAGACAUGACGCCGCCUUUUUGCUCAGUAUGGGUAACAUUCGGUCGGUUCAGUUUAUGUAAGAAGCCUUUGCUUACUUACAUGUACUCUGAUUAGCACUUCUAAACAGGAGAAUUUAUACUGUUACAAGAGGUAAGCUACGUCUUUCAGUUUGAACUUAGAGACGUGGAGCUUUCUUAAUCUCCAAUUGCUUUUAAUCUCAUUAAGUUUAUCCCGUAACAAGUGUCAUUACUCAGGGUGUUGUAAUCAAAACUUAUGAUAUACUUGUCCCCUCCAGUUUCUGUCGUAAGGGGAAAGUUGGUGCUAAUAAGCCAUGGCAAGUUACUCUUCUGACUCUCAUAAUUCUCACCUCCUCUGUCGAUAGUGAAAUUGGCUGAUUGUAUUAGCAAUGCACUACCUCUUUGAUGUGGUAAUCAACUUCUUGUGGUCUCUCUUCGAGCUCCUGGCUUCUGAUGUGAGAGCGCUAUACGGUGUCCUUGGGGCAAUUAGCCAUGAGGUCUCAAGGGGGGACAACAUAAUGAACGGGGUGGAACUUCUAAUCGUGCCGUGCGAAGAAGAGCUUCUGCAGCAGGUGUCAAAGGAAUACGGAGUCGUCCCCAAGUUGAUUUUAGGGCACGCCAAGUGAAUGAGUUCCCUGGAAACGUCCAUAGGGCUUUUCAAACCAGGGUAGAAGCAAAAUUCUUUCUAUCCCAUUUCGAAAAACUACAGACCUCUUGUGGCUAGAAGUUCUAGCCUAGAGCAAACUAUUUCGUUCCUCCUAGUGUGGAACUACUUGUACAAUUGCCUGAUGUCAUGUAAGACCUAUGCAAUGACAUUCCUUAUCGACUUGACUCCCAUGGAAUUUCUGUGCUUCUCAAAGACUAAACGGCCUCGGGAUUUCGCGAGAAUAUCUGCUGUCUGCUGCUGGGAGCUAACGUGCUGUUUCUGAAUGCCUUCUUCUAUACCUUGCUCACGCACAUAAUGGUGGUGUUACUCUAUGUGCUUUGAUCGGGCAUGAAAGACUGAGUUUUUUGCAAGUUUAAUAGUUCUAACGUUAUCGCAGUUGAGAUGAAUAUCAAUUUCAGUAGG